GCCUGGGUGGCUCAGUCGGUUGAGCGUCUGACUUCAGGUCAGGUCAUGAUCUCGCGGUCUGUGAGUUCAAGCCCCACUUCGGGCU
rfam:Felis catus isolate Cinnamon breed Abyssinian chromosome B1, whole genome shotgun sequence.